AAAAAGAAAUGAAAAGGAUAGAAAAGAAACAGAAUGAAAUGAACCAGAGAACAAGGGAGAAAAAGAAAGAAACAAAGAGAAGAAAGGAAGAAAAGGGAAAAUUUGGGGUUUGAUGCUUGAGGCUUAAAUAGCCAACAAGGUGUUGAAAAAUCCUCGGUUAAGAAAGGAAAAGACGAGGUCAACGAAGGUUAGCUCGAAAAUUACGGUUUGUGUUUCUAUAUUCAGAAUUUAAUAUUUAAUUGUUGAAUUUAUUAUUUAAUGUGUAGGUUGAUGCAUUGAAAAGUGAAAAUUAAUUGUUAAUUAUUAUAUUUUGAUUGAAUGUUAUGGUAAGUAAUUAAGGUAA